CCCCUAGAUGUUCUGGGCCGCACGAGCGCUACACUGAACAGUUCAACAAGUCUUAACCUUGGCCGAUAGGUCUGGGUAAUCUUUGAACGCUGUUCGUGAUUGGGAUAGACCUUUGCAAUUAUGGGUCUUCAACGAGGAAUUCCUAGUAAACGCAAGUCAUCAGCUUGCAUUGAUUACGUCCCUGCCCUUUGUACACACCGCCCGUCGCACCUACCGAUUGAAUGGUCCGGUGAAAUCUCGGGACGGCGGCUUGGUCGCUUGCGUCCGACUGCUGAAACUUGAUUAAACCAUAUCAUUUAGAGGAAGGUGAAGUCGUAACA
rnacentral:rRNA from 1 species